rnacentral:rRNA from 1 species
UACGUAGGGGGCUAGCGUUGUCCGGAUUUAUUGGGCGUAAAGAGCGUGUAGGCGGCCAGGUAGGUCUGCUGUGAAAACUCGAGGCUUAACCUCGAGAUGUCGGCGGAAACCAUCUGGCUAGAGUCCGGAAGAGGAGAGUGGAAUUCCUGGUGUAGCGGUGAAAUGCGCAGAUAUCAGGAAGAACACCCGUGGCGAAAGCACUCUGCUGGGCCGACACUGACACUGAGAGACGAAAGCUAGGGGAGCGAAUGGG